UGCAAAAAGGAUAACUAUGUAAAAUUAACUAGAAAUGCUAACAGAUUAGACAAGGCAGAAUACAAAACCAGGAAACUUGAAGAUAAAUCAAUAAAAGUAACCUUCCCUAAAAAAUAGCAAAAAAGAAAAAAAGACUGCCAACAACAACAACAACAAAGCCACCACCAACAGCAAGAAGACUCAGGAACACAUGGAAAAAUAUCAAGUGGUCCAAUCUAAGUACACCUGGAUUCCUAGAACAUUGAAGGAUUCCCUGAGAACUCCUUCUUAG
rnacentral:lncRNA from 10 species